GGGUUGUGAGGUUAAGCGACUAAGCGUACACGGUGGAUGCCCUGGCAGUCAGAGGCGAUGAAGGGCGUGCUAAUCUGCGAUAAGCGCCGGUAAGGUGAUAUGAACCGUUAUAACCGGCGAUACCCGAAUGGGGAAACCCAGUGUGACUCGUCACACUAUCAUUAACUGAAUCCAUAGGUUAAUGAGGCGAACCGGGGGAACUGAAACAUCUAAGUACCCCGAGGAAAAGAAAUCAACCGAGAUUCCCCCAGUAGCGGCGAGCGAACGGGGAGGAGCCCAGAGCCUGAAUCAGCAUGUGUGUUAGUGGAAGCGUCUGGAAAGGCGCGCGAUACAGGGUGACAGCCCCGUACACAAAAGCGCAUGUGCUGUGAGCUCGAUGAGUAGGGCGGGACACGUGGUAUCCUGUCUGAAUAUGGGGGGACCAUCCUCCAAGGCUAAAUACUCCUGACUGACCGAUAGUGAACCAGUACCGUGAGGGAAAGGCGAAAAGAACCCCGGCGAGGGGAGUGAAAAAGAACCUGAAACCGUGUACGUACAAGCAGUGGGAGCACAGGUUUACCUGUGUGACUGCGUACCUUUUGUAUAAUGGGUCAGCGACUUAUAUUCUGUAGCAAGGUUAACCGUAUAGGGGAGCCGUAGGGAAACCGAGUCUUAACCGGGCGUUAAGUUGCAGGGUAUAGACCCGAAACCCGGUGAUCUAGCCAUGGGCAGGUUGAAGGUUGGGUAACACUAACUGGAGGACCGAACCGACUAAUGUUGAAAAAUUAGCGGAUGACCUGUGGCUGGGGGUGAAAGGCCAAUCAAACCGGGAGAUAGCUGGUUCUCCCCGAAAGCUAUUUAGGUAGCGCCUCGUGAAUUCAUCUCCGGGGGUAGAGCACUGUUUCGGCUAGGGGGCCAUCCCGGCUUACCAACCCGAUGCAAACUGCGAAUACCGGAGAAUGUUAUCACGGGAGACACACGGCGGGUGCUAACGUCCGUCGUGAAGAGGGAAACAACCCAGACCGCCAGCUAAGGUCCCAAAGUCAUGGUUAAGUGGGAAACGAUGUGGGAAGGCCCAGACAGCCAGGAUGUUGGCUUAGAAGCAGCCAUCAUUUAAAGAAAGCGUAAUAGCUCACUGGUCGAGUCGGCCUGCGCGGAAGAUGUAACGGGGCUAAACCAUGCACCGAAGCUGCGGCAGCGACGCUUAUGCGUUGUUGGGUAGGGGAGCGUUCUGUAAGCCUGUGAAGGUGUGUCGUGAGGCAUGCUGGAGGUAUCAGAAGUGCGAAUGCUGACAUAAGUAACGAUAAAGCGGGUGAAAAGCCCGCUCGCCGGAAGACCAAGGGUUCCUGUCCAACGUUAAUCGGGGCAGGGUGAGUCGACCCCUAAGGCGAGGCCGAAAGGCGUAGUCGAUGGGAAACGGGUUAAUAUUCCCGUACUUGGUGUUACUGCGAAGGGGGGACGGAGAAGGCUAUGUUGGCCGGGCGACGGUUGUCCCGGUUUAAGCGUGUAGGUGUGUGUUCCAGGUAAAUCCGGUUCACUUUAACACUGAGGCGUGAUGACGAGGCACUACGGUGCUGAAGCAACAAAUGCCCUGCUUCCAGGAAAAGCCUCUAAGCAUCAGGUAACAUCAAAUCGUACCCCAAACCGACACAGGUGGUCAGGUAGAGAAUACCAAGGCGCUUGAGAGAACUCGGGUGAAGGAACUAGGCAAAAUGGUGCCGUAACUUCGGGAGAAGGCACGCUGAUAUGUAGGUGAAGUGAUUUACUCAUGGAGCUGAAAUCAGUCGAAGAUACCAGCUGGCUGCAACUGUUUAUUAAAAACACAGCACUGUGCAAACACGAAAGUGGACGUAUACGGUGUGACGCCUGCCCGGUGCCGGAAGGUUAAUUGAUGGGGUCAGCGCAAGCGAAGCUCCUGAUCGAAGCCCCGGUAAACGGCGGCCGUAACUAUAACGGUCCUAAGGUAGCGAAAUUCCUUGUCGGGUAAGUUCCGACCUGCACGAAUGGCGUAAUGAUGGCCAGGCUGUCUCCACCCGAGACUCAGUGAAAUUGAACUCGCUGUGAAGAUGCAGUGUACCCGCGGCAAGACGGAAAGACCCCGUGAACCUUUACUAUAGCUUGACACUGAACAUUGAGCCUUGAUGUGUAGGAUAGGUGGGAGGCUUUGAAGCGUGGACGCCAGUCUGCGUGGAGCCGACCUUGAAAUACCACCCUUUAAUGUUUGAUGUUCUAACGUGGACCCGUAAUCCGGGUUGCGGACAGUGUCUGGUGGGUAGUUUGACUGGGGCGGUCUCCUCCUAAAGAGUAACGGAGGAGCACGAAGGUUGGCUAAUCCUGGUCGGACAUCAGGAGGUUAGUGCAAUGGCAUAAGCCAGCUUGACUGCGAGCGUGACGGCGCGAGCAGGUGCGAAAGCAGGUCAUAGUGAUCCGGUGGUUCUGAAUGGAAGGGCCAUCGCUCAACGGAUAAAAGGUACUCCGGGGAUAACAGGCUGAUACCGCCCAAGAGUUCAUAUCGACGGCGGUGUUUGGCACCUCGAUGUCGGCUCAUCACAUCCUGGGGCUGAAGUAGGUCCCAAGGGUAUGGCUGUUCGCCAUUUAAAGUGGUACGCGAGCUGGGUUUAGAACGUCGUGAGACAGUUCGGUCCCUAUCUGCCGUGGGCGCUGGAGAACUGAGGGGGGCUGCUCCUAGUACGAGAGGACCGGAGUGGACGCAUCACUGGUGUUCGGGUUGUCAUGCCAAUGGCACUGCCCGGUAGCUAAAUGCGGAAAAGAUAAGUGCUGAAAGCAUCUAAGCACGAAACUUGCCCCGAGAUGAGUUCUCCCUGAGACUUAGAGUCUCCUGAAGGAACGUUGAAGACGACGACGUUGAUAGGCCGGGUGUGUAAGCACAGCGAUGCGUUGAGCUAACCGGUACUAAUGAACCGUGAGGCUUAACCUUACAACGCCGAAG
rnacentral:rRNA from 7 species